GUGCUUGCACCUUAUCUUAGCGGCGGACGGGUGAGUAAUGCUUAGGAAUCUGCCUAUUAGUGGGGGACAACAUUCCGAAAGGAAUGCUAAUACCGCAUACGUCCUACGGGAGAAAGCAGGGGAUCUUCGGACCUUGCGCUAGUAGAUGAGCCUGAGUCGGAUUAGCUAGUUGGUGGGGUAAAGGCCUACCAAGGCGACGAUCUGUAGCGGGUCUGAGAGGAUGAUCCGCCACACUGGGACUGAGACACGGCCCAGACUCCUACGGGAGGCAGCAGUGGGGAAUAUUGGACAAUGGGCGGGAGCCUGAUCCAGCCAUGCCGCGUGUGUGAAGAAGGCCUUUUGGUUGUAAAGCACUUUAAGCGAGGAGGAGGCUACCUAGAUUAAUACUCUGGGAUAGUGGACGUUACUCGCAGAAUAAGCACCGGCUAACUCUGUGCCAGCAGCCGCGGUAAUACAGAGGGUGCGAGCGUUAAUCGGAUUUACUGGGCGUAAAGCGUGCGUAGGCGGCUGAUUAAGUCGGAUGUGAAAUCCCUGAGCUUAACUUAGGAAUUGCAUUCGAUACUGGUCAGCUAGAGUAUGGGAGAGGAUGGUAGAAUUCCAGGUGUAGCGGUGAAAUGCGUAGAGAUCUGGAGGAAUACCGAUGGCGAAGGCAGCCAUCUGGCCUAAUACUGACGCUGAGGUACGAAAGCAUGGGGAGCAAACAGGAUUAGAUACCCUGGUAGUCCAUGCCGUAAACGAUGUCUACUAGCCGUUGGGGCCUUUGAGGCUUUAGUGGCGCAGCUAACGCGAUAAGUAGA
rnacentral:rRNA from 1 species